rfam:Sorghum bicolor cultivar BTx623 chromosome 10, whole genome shotgun sequence.
AUAGCCGGAUUCGCAUCAAUACACAUCUAUUGGUGUGGAUUGGAGUGAAAUUUGAACUAAAUUUCACCACAAUCCACUUCAACACAUGUGAAUUGAUGUAAAUUUGACA